rnacentral:tRNA from 1 species
GCCGCGGUAGCUCAAUUGGUAGAGCAUCGCACGUGAAUUGCGAAGGAUGUGGGAUCGAUUGCCAUCUGCGGCA